UGCAAUUACUGGUACAAGAGUAGUCUUAGCUUUAAUAACACUCCAUUGGAAAAUUAGUAUCUUUCUUUCACCAACGGCUUCACAGCAACAAAAGUCAGUCUUUCCGCGCAAUACAGUUACUCAUCUGGUUCUUUGAUGGGCAAGAAGCAGCACUUAGAUUGGACAACGAGGUCCAUUUCUUCCUCAGGGAGUGAGAGAGUCUCUCUCUUGACAAAGGAGGCACGGAGGAAAGCAAAUGAAGACCAAUCACCCGAUGGUCCUCCAAACGACCUGGAACUUGGAGAUGGAGUGGAGGCAGCAAAUGUUGGGUUUGGUAGAGUAUUUUCACUGGCAAAGCC
rnacentral:misc_RNA from 1 species